rnacentral:rRNA from 1 species
UACGUAGGGUGCGAGCGUUAAUCGGAAUUACUGGGCGUAAAGCGUGCGCAGGCGGUUUUGUAAGCCAGAUGUGAAAAUCCCCCGGGCUUAACCUGGGAAUGGCAUUUGGGACUGCAAGGCUGGAGUGCGGCAGAGGAGACUGGAAUUCCUGGUGUAGCAGUGAAAUGCGUAGAUAUCAGGAGGAAUACCGAUGGCGAAGGCAGGUCUCUGGGCUGACACUGACGCUCAUGCACGAAAGCGUGGGGAGCAAACAGG